rnacentral:rRNA from 1 species
AUUGAACGCUGGCGGCAUGCUUUACACAUGCAAGUCGAACGGUAACAGGCCGCAAGGUGCUGACGAGUGGCGAACGGGUGAGUAAUGCAUCGGAACGUGCCCAGUCGUGGGGGAUAACGCAGCGAAAGCUGUGCUAAUACCGCAUACGAUCUAUGGAUGAAAGCGGGGGACCGUAAGGCCUCGCGCGAUUGGAGCGGCCGGUGUCAGAUUAGGUAGUUGGUGGGGUAAAGGCCUACCAAGCCGACGAUCUGUAGCUGGUCUGAGAGGACGACCAGCAACACGUGGCCGGAGACACGGCCCAGACUCCUACGGGAGGCAGCAGUGGGGAAUCUUGGACAAUGGGCGCAAGCCUGAUCCAGCAAUGCAGCGUGCAGGAAGAAGGCCUUCGGGUUGUAAACUGCUUUUGUACGGAACGAAACGGUCUGGGUUAAUACCCUGGGCUAAUGACGGUACCGUAAGAAUAAGCACCGGCUAACUACGUGCCAGCCGCCGCCGUAACAC